GAUGAACGCUAGCGGCAGGCUUAAUACAUGCAAGUCGAGGGGCAGCGGGAGUAGCAAUACUUGCCGGCGACCGGCGCACGGGUGCGUAACACGUAUGUAAUCUGCCCAUCACAGGAGGAUAGCCCGGAGAAAUUCGGAUUAAUACUCCAUAAUAAAUUGAGUAGCAUUACUUGAUUUUGAAAGUUCCGACGGUGAUGGAUGAACAUGCGACUGAUUAGUUAGUUGGUGAGGUAACGGCUCACCAAGACCACGAUCAGUAGGGGUACUGAGAGGUUAAACCCCCACACUGGUACUGAGACACGGACCAGACUCCUACGGGAGGCAGCAGUAAGGAAUAUUGGACAAUGGCCGCAAGGCUGAUCCAGCCAUGCCGCGUGCAGGAAGACGGACCUAUGGUUUGUAAACUGCUUUUGAACUAGAGAAAACCCCUUUACGUGUAAAGGGCUGAUAGUAUAGUUAGAAUAAGCAUCGGCUAACUUCGUGCCAGCAGCCGCCGUAACAC
rnacentral:rRNA from 1 species